GGGCAAAUAGUGUAGUUGGUUAUCGCGCCCGCUUCGCAUUCUUGGGAAAAAAAAACUGGUCACGUGACCGGAAUUGCGGGAGGUGCUGGGUUCGAUUCCCAGUUUGUCCA